rnacentral:rRNA from 1 species
CAGCCACAACAGCCCGCUGGCUCGCACGGGGUGCUCUUCAUCGAGUGUCCCGCGUGGCCGGCAGAGUUUACUUUGAAAAAAUUAGAGUGCUCAAAGCAGGCUACACUGACUGCCUGAAUGCCUAUGCAUGGAAUAAUGGAAUAGGACCUCGGUUCUAUUUUGUCGGUUUUCUGAACCCGAGGUAAUGACUAAUAGGAACAGGCGGGGGCAUUCGUAUUGCGACGCUAGAGGUGAAAUUCUUGGACCGUCGCAAGACGAACUACUGCGAAAGCAUUUGCCAAGGAUGUUUUCAUUAAUCAAGAACGAAAGUUAGAGGUUCGAAGGCGAUCAGAUACCGCCCUAGUUCUAACCAUAAACGAUGCUGACCAGCGAUCCGCCGGCGUUAUUCCCAUGACCCGGCGGGCAGCUUCCGGGAAACCAAAGUCUUUGGGUUCCGGGGGAAGUAUGGUUGCAAAGCUGAAACUUAAAGGAAUUGACGGAAGGGCACCACCAGGAGUGGAGCCUGCGGCUUAAUUUGACUCAACACGGGGAACCUCACCAGGCCCAGACACCGGAAGGAUUGACAGAUUGAGAGCUCUUUCUCGAUUCNGUGGGUGGUGGUGCAUGGCCGUUCUUANUUGGUGGAGCNAUUUGUCUGGUUAAUUCCNAUAAC